ACGGUCCUAAGGUAGCGAAAUUCCUUGUCGGGUAAGUUCCGACCUGCACGAAUGGCGUAAUGAUGGCCAGGCUGUCUCCACCCGAGACUCAGUGAAAUUGAACUCGCUGUGAAGAUGCAGUGUACCCGCGGCAAGACGGAAAGACCCCGUGAACCUUUACUAUAGCUUGACACUGAACCUUGAGCCUUGAUGUGUAGGAUAGGUGGGAGGCUUUGAAGUGUGGACGCCAGUCUGCAUGGAGCCAACCUUGAAAUACCACCCUUUAAUGUUUGAUGUUCUAACGUAGGCCCGUAAUCCGGGUUGCGGACAGUGUCUGGUGGGUAGUUUGACUGGGGCGGUCUCCUCCCAAAGCGUAACGGAGGAGCACGAAGGUUAGCUAAUCCUGGUCGGACAUCAGGAGGUUAGUGCAAAGGCAUAAGCUAGCUUGACUGCGAGAGUGACAGCUCGAGCAGGUGCGAAAGCAGGUCUUAGUGAUCCGGUGGUUCUGAAUGGAAGGGCCAUCGCUCAACGGAUAAAAGGUACUCCGGGGAUAACAGGCUGAUACCGCCCAAGAGUUCAUAUCGACGGCGGUGUUUGGCACCUCGAUGUCGGCUCAUCACAUCCUGGGGCUGAAGUAGGUCCCAAGGGUAUGGCUGUUCGCCAUUUAAAGUGGUACGCGAGCUGGGUUUAGAACGUCGUGAGACAGUUCGGUCCCUAUCUGCCGUGGGCGUUGGAAGAUUGAGAGGGGUUGCUCCUAGUACGAGAGGACCGGAGUGAACGCACCACUGGUGUACGGGUUGUGAUGCCAAUUGCAUUGCCCGGUAGCUAAGUGCGGAAGAGAUAACCGCUGAAAGCAUCUAAGCGGGAAACUUGCCUCGAGAUGAGUCUUCCCUGGGCACCAGAUGCCCCUGAAGGGCCGUUGAAGACGACGACGUAGAUAGGCUGGGUGUGUAAGCGUAGCGAUACGUUGAGCUAACCAGUACUAAUGACCCGAGAGGCUUAACCUUACAACACCGAAGGUGUUU
rnacentral:rRNA from 1 species